rnacentral:lncRNA from 1 species
AGUAAAUGAAAUGGAUAUAAGCAAGUUGGUCUACCUUCAAGCAAUUGUUAAAGAGACAUUGAGGUUAAAUCCAACAGCCCCACUUUCAGGACCGCGUCAAUUCAUCCAAGAUUCUAUUUUAGGCGGUUACUAUAUCUCAAAAGGCACUCGUCUUAUAUUGAACCUCACCAAGAUCCAAAGAGACCCGAGAGUAUGGUUGAACCCAAUGGAGUUCCAACCAGAUAGAUUCCUCACCACCCACAAAGAUGUUGAUGUUAGAGGUAAACAUUUUGAGUUGACACCAUUUGGUGGUGGAAGAAGAAUUUGCCCUGGAGCAAUUUUUGCCCUUCAAGUGCUACACUUAACAUUAGCCAACUUCCUACAUAGAUUUCAACUUUCAACUCCAUCAGAUGCACCGGUUGAUAUGAGCGAGAGUUUUGGAUUAACAAACAUCAAAUCCACUCCACUUGAAGUUCUUAUCUCCCCACGCUUGGCUUCUUAUGAUCUUUAUGAGUAGAACUUGAGGUCGCUAAGAGACUUAUUUCAAAAAACCUAGUGCUAUGAAAUGUGAAAUAAAAAUAAAUUUCAUACAUGUAGCAUAAGUUUAGUAUUAUUUUAAAGCAGUUACUAAUGUGUGUCCUUUAGUAUUGUCUUAGCUUGAAUUUAAUAAAAAAAUAUUUUCGACAACUAUUUUGUGUGGACAAGUAAUGACCCAAUUUCUUGUUAUGUUUCUUCAUUCUUCCAUGAAAGAGAAUUUAGAAGAAAAAGUGGCAUAUAGCAUUACAAUUGAAAAAUUAAUAAGCAUGUACUCCACCAUAUGCAUAUAUAUGCAUAGUAGACUUAAUGAAUUUCCAAGUUGAUUAAUUGGUAUCUCCUUUUGAUAGAUUUCAGCCACCUUUUUGUACAUGAUUAAAGUAGUAAUGGAGACUAAAAUUACAACUCCCAUUUCAUUGUAAAAAGUUGGGAUGUGCAAGGUGGGUCAGUUCAAUUUUGGGCAUUAAAAUCGAAUCGAAUCGAAUUGAACCCAAAAGAGGAAAAUGAUUAGUUUGACUUGAUUAACAAUAAUCUAAGUUGGUUUAUUUUGCUUCUAUUUAUAACAUCAAUUUUUUUUUUAAUUUGAACGAAAAUAAUAUUAUUGAAGCAAGUCAUCUUUGGACGGUUGAAAUGAUAUUAUUACAACUAAUUUCAAAUCAUAUUAUUAUAACUUAAUGACAUGAAUAGGUAUUAUUGUAACCCAUGUCAAUCAUAUCAAAUAGUCCAAGUCAUAGAUAAAAGUUAUAAAGGUGUGAUUGGGAGUUCCAUCCAAUGUGAAAAAUGUAUACCAAAUUAAUAAUGUAACCAAUUGUUAUACUGUAUAUUAUUAUUGUGUGUGUAUAGCUUUCAAUUCAAUUCAGUUUGGUUCAUUAAUUUUUUUUUAUAGGUAAUUGAAUUGGUAUAACUUAGGUUUAUAUUUUUAAAAAUAAAAUCUUUAAAAAUUAAUAGAUUUGGGUCAAUUCCAUUGAUUUUGUCAAUCGUACACCCUAAAAGAAGGGAUGUCCACUUAUCAUCCAUAACUUUGUGUACUCCUAAGUUAGAAUUUUGCCCCAUGUGAUUCACAUUUGUACUUAUUAUUCUCAAAUUUUCGUACAAAUGAUUUAUUGUUUUGUGGAAUUUUACUCCAUGAGAUUCACAUUUGUACUUAUUAUUAUCAACUUUGUCUGCUCUUAAGUUACAAUUUCUCCUAAUUAGAUUCACAUGCGUUAUUGCCAUAAUUGACUUUCCACAUUUAUGCAUGAAUUAUUAUGUCAAUAGAUGCAUUAUCAUUUUGUCAAGUUAAUUUGACUUAGGUUAAUCACCAAAGACAAGGUGAAUUAAUUGACUCAAUUUUAAUAAAUUUUAAUUUAAAUGAGUGCAAGUAAUAAUAAUAAAACAGUAAAAAAAUACAUAAUUAAAUAAAUAAAAAGAAGAGAUAACUGGUACAAACUCCAAUUUAUAUUUUGCUCAAUCCUAUACUCUCCUCAAGCCCUCAAAUGCAAAUUGAGGGUUCCACUAGCUUUUAAGACUUCAAUCAAACCUUAAUCCUUUACACCUGGAUUCUCAAUUUCAAUGAUCUUUUUACACUUUAAUUCAAGAAAUUCCUCACUCUUGAACAUACUCAAAGGUAACACUUGAACAACAUUGAUCUCACAAAGUUUUAUUUACAGAUAAUAUAAAUGAAAACUUAAAUGGUUUUUUUUGGUUAGGAUUUCUAAAUUAAUAAGGAUUUUUACAUUAAAAAGAAAGAGUUAAGAUCAACUGGGUUUUGUAAGAUUUUGAUAUAUAUCUUAGUUUGCGAGUUUUUUGGGAUUAUAUUGUAAUCUUAUUGUUUUAUCCUAAAAUUGUCAAAAAAAGAAAUUAGUAAUUUAGUAUGGAAAUUUUACUCCAAAGAUUAUUGAUUAAAAAUUAUUUUACUAAUACCAACGUGUAAGAGUUAAAGGCAUAAAAUUGAAAUUAAAGUAAGUUUAUUAUUUUGGAUUUUGUUAAGUAAUGACAAGAUUAAUAAUUGAAAUUAAUGUAAAAAGAAGUGUAAAAACUUUAAAACUUUAAAAUAUCAUUUCAUUAUUAGUUUCCACUUGCCAACAUAGACUUCUCAUUCUAUUCUAACAAGUUUUUUGUACUUUUAUAUAUAUAUAUUUCAUAAACUUAACAAAGGAUACAAACAGCAAAAGAAAAAAAAAAUUGAGCUACUAAACCUCAAUAUAAAUUUGGGGUGAAUUGUCAAGGUCUAUUAAGGAGCAUGGGGAAGUACUGUAUCACAGAUCAAUGUGAAGAUGUAUAUAUAUUUAUAGUAUAGAACCUAAGAGAACGUUUCUUUCUAAGUUAGGUAAACAUUUCUGUCAAAGUUGAUGAAAUUUUACUAUAAUUUAUAUACACAUGCUUUCAGUGUGCAUAUAAAUUAUACGUGGAGAUGAUUUUUAACUUAUAUCUUGCUUUUUAUAUGUGAUUUAAUAUUGUUUUGGAUUAUUGAUUAUGACUUAUGAAUUAUCAUGCAUGGAACUAAUCAAAAUGAUAUAAUUAAAUUAUAUUAAUGAAUUUGAGAUAGACAUGGCAAUUAUUAAUUUAAAAUAUCUUAUAUGAACAUAAAAUUUUAAAUAUAGACUCAUAAUUUAUAUUAAAAUAAUAAAAUUAAAAAAGUACGUUUAUCUCAGAUUUAUGCCUAGGGCCCAAAUUUUGCUGAGAGACGGCCGGAUGUCAUCACAUGCAAGAAAGCUAGGAAACAAAGCUAAAGUUUGCUUCUUGUGUGGGAAGAGGUACUUCCGUGCUUGACUGAAAGAAAGGAUUUUCUACAAGAAAAAUUGUCCCCUUGUUUGUAAAGCCUCAAGUUGCGACAGCAAUAACGACAAAAGUAGGCCAAAGAAUUUGUCAUUAUUAUGAGACUAGAGAGGUUUUACUGAGAAGUUUUCCGAGCGUGAUAUCAGCAUUCGCUGUAUCACAGUGAUACAACAAAUGGUUUGAACACAGUGAUCUAGAACCCAUUAGCUCAAAUUUCAUUGAUCUGAACACGAUGAUCCUCAUCCGCAGACCAUUUUAGGGAAUAAUUAAUUCUAGCGAUUUUUUAACUGCAUGUACGAAGAACUUCAUCAAAAUUCGAUUAAGUGUAUCUUAACCAAUCUUGAUCAGUAUGCGACUGAUGAUUCUAUUUGAUAAAAGUAAUGCGGUGGCCCAACUUUAUCUUAAUUUCUAUGUUGAAAGUAAUCAUUAUAUUAUUCUAUAAUUAUAAAUGUAGACUAUGGAAUCAAGAUAACUUUGAUAUGCUGAGAUCAAAAGAGGGCGGCCACUUUAGUAGUGGACUAUAUAUACUAAAUAAAGCUGAUCGAUUAUUACAUUGGAAAAUAACAUUGAACCUAUCAUGAAAGACAACCCUACUGGACCAUGCCCCGAGUACUAAAUGCUGAUAAAAAACAAGUACAUGUUCCAAAGGAAUUGAGUCCAUAUAUACACAUUAGUGCUCAAAGAGAAAAACUAUAUAUCCACCGCUUAACUACAGUGAUCCUUUGAGCAGAAGUUAGCCAUGUAUUUCCUUUUCCAAUACCUAAACAUCACCACGGUCGGAGUCUUUGCCACACUUUUCCUUUCCUACUGUCUAUUAUUAUGGAGGUCUAGAGCUGGUAACAAAAAAAUAGCACCUGAAGCUACUGCUGCAUUGUCACGACCCAAAUUCCGGGUGACCCAUAAUUUGGCCCGUGACCCCAGGUCAAAGGUUUGACCCUAAGGGUUACUCCUAUUCCACGUUGGCAGUCAACUAAAACACUCUGAAAUUUUUUUUUUUCUCACAUAUAAGUCUCACUAGGUUCUCACCAACUAACAAUAUUUCAACCCUUACUCAAACACAUUAAGAUUUAAUAAAUAUCAUUGCAUUCCAAAAUAAAAUUUCAUAAAAAUCCCCUUAAUCGAAUUAAGGUCUUAUUACAUUAUCCAUAAUUCACUUAUUACAAGAUCUCAAUACCACAAACAUAAUAAAAAAAUAAAACACAUUCCACUAAACCGCUCCAAGGGCAUCCUGAAGUCCUCCCUGUCCCACCUGUGGAUCCUCAGGAGUGAUAUCUGCAUCUAAAAAUAUAUAUAUAAAAAAAAAGGGUGAGCAUUUCCACAUUGCUCAGUAGGGUGCCUAACACCCAAAGGGUUAAUGGGGGAUUACUAUAUUUCAAUAACCCAAACACAACAGUUUACCAAUAUAAAUCAAGUCACACAAUUUAACAUAUAAUAUUAUACUCAAUCCCACAACAUCCAAUCAUUACAUAUUAAAUUACCACCUACAUCUAUAAGUUCUUCAUCUUUUUAUAAAGGAGCUAUAGAAAUGUUAAAAAGUCGAAAGAAGACAACAAAUAGUUCUCCAAACAACACAACUGAUUUAGAUAGAUAUCUUAAUAUUGAUUUAAUUUCAUUUGAAGAUGAUGAAGAUUUUGAUAUUUUAAUAUGGUGGAAAUCACAACAACACAAAUAUCUUGUGCUUUCUAUCAUUGCUCGUGAUGUACUAACAGUUCCUGUGAGUACAGUUGCAUCAGAAGUUGCUUUUAGUGCAGGUGGAAGAGUAGUUAGUGAUAAACGAUGCAGCUUAGCGCCGGAUUCUAUUGAAGCAAAUAUAUGUCUGAAAGACUGGGCAAUAGCAGAUAAAAGGAUAUUUGAUUCUAUUCAAGAAGAAAAUAUGCUUGUCGAUAUGGAAAAACUAAAAUCAUCAGAUCUUCAUGGAUUUGCGAUAGUUAGCCAUCACCGCUAAGAGAUAAUGAUUAAAAUAUUUUACUAAAUGUAUGUCAUAUUUUUAUUUUUAUUUUUGUGGUUGAAAAGUACAAAUGAUUGACAAAUAAGUAGGUGCCAACCUAGUUGAGAUGUAUUUAUUUUGUAGUGAUGUAAACUUUUUCCACAUUUUCAAAUGUAAUGUAUAUAUUCAAUGAAUAAAAUAGUUAGCAAUGAAUAUUUUUAUUAAUGUAGCAUUUUCUAUUUUUUGAAUAUAUUUUUAUAUAUAUAUAUAUAUAUUUUUAAGUGGCGGGCCUACGGGUGGGCCCACGGCCGGGCCGGGCUUAAAUUGGGGCCCAUCCAAAAAUGGGCUCGGGUCGGGCUUUAGCCUACUGGGCCGGGCCGCGAGCUUUUUGGAGACCCUUAAUUUUUAUAAAUUACAGAAAAGAAAGAAAGAAAAAAAAAAAGAGAAAUCUACAUAUAGCUGCAUUUGUGUUUGUCAUGGAAAAUGAAAAAUAUUGCUAGAGUUUAUAAUGUAAAACAAAAUGCAAAUGUGAAACGCAAAGCAUAUAAGCUAUUUUAGGGUAAAAUCCAUGAAUGACCAAAUGGCCCAAAAAAAAGAUCAAAUUGGAAAUACGAUCGGUCAACGGUUGAAUCGAUUGGUGCAAUCCAAUUUUCAAAACCAUGAAAAUUUUAAUAUAUGACUUAAGCAUGUAAGUUUGAUAUAACAACGAGUAAAAAAUAAAUUAUAGAAUCCCUUUAGAUGAAAAAAGAUUUUAAUAAUUAUAAAUUUUUAUGAGAUGGAUAUGAUUUAUUAAGAUAAUUUUAAAAAAUAAUAAAUAAAAUUUAAUAUUAAAUUUUAUUUAUAAGAAUAAAAUAUCUUAAGAUAAUUAUGAGGGUAGGUAGAGGAUGCUAUUUUUAUGAGAAGCAUAAUAUGAUGCGUUUUGCAUUAAAAAGUCAAAUUCAUCCACACAUGUCCAUGUCUAUGAAACACAUUACACCGAACAUUAUUUUCAAAUUCGGACAUUAUUUUCAAACCCAACCUACGUAAGGCAUGUUUUUUUUUUUUUUUUUCUUUUUAAUUAUUAAAUUAGUUGUAUUUUGGUUCAAAACUCACGUGGGAAGAAGACUAGAGGGGGAACAUUUUUGUUGCGAAGCUAUACGGAAUAAAAUUUAUUCAGAAGCCGGUCAAAACUCAAAUUUAUCUGCGGAACUUUUGUACUUAUCUUUUGACAAUUGGAAUGCUUCCCUACAAAUUAACUAAAUUAAUAGUCUCCUUGUUUUAUCAGAAGCGAAGGAAAAAGUAGGACUCAUGCAUCGUACAACACAAAUAGGCAGAUCUUUAGUCAUAGAUGGUGCAUGCCGUAAAGUAGCCGUCUUGAGCUUGGUAAGAAACCAAGCUAUUAAAACUUGACUUGAACUGUUCAUUCUCAAGGGGGUAAGUGCCAGCCAGGGUUCAAAUUUUAUGAUGCGGGCAUGCAAGACUUAUACCAAUCUGCCGUUCUAAUAAUAGAAUGUAGAAGACACCAAGCACCUCCUGCAUGCAUCUUGAGGCGGUGUAGACACGCAUCCCAAGGCGAAGUUGUUCUCUACGACCUAAGGAUCAAUUUAGUAAUUGUUUUAAAAAAUAGUUUUUUGAGGUCAAUUUUUGAAAAUUAUUUUUAAAAUUUUUAAAAUAAAAAUAUGUUAGAAAACCUAAAAUAUAACAUGUUUUUAAAUUUUUUAAAUAUAUUUUAAAAAUAAUUUUUAUAUAUUUUUAAUUCUUAUAUUUAUAUAAUUAUUUUUUAAAACAACGGUUAGAAAACAAGUAAAAACAAAUAAAUUUUUUUUAAAAAAAAACAUUCUAUUUUAUGUUAUUAAUAACUUUUAAUUAUCAAAAGUUUUAUUUUAUAUUUUUUGUUUUAAAGAACAAAAAGCCUGCUCAAAAAAACAGUUGCCAUAACUUUUUUCUGAUCUGUAGUGAUCCUAGGAAGGCUGUUUUCUAAAUAUAGUAAUAUAAUAAAAAAAUGUGGUCAUAGUAAGAAAAUACCGUUUGGACAUGUCCAUGGUAUUAUGCAUAUGCUUGAACAGGGAAGCUACCCACAGUUUAACCACAGUAAUCCAAUAGCAACAUCUAAGCUACCAUGGAUUUCCUUCUCCAAUGCCUAAACCCUGCCAUGGUUGGAGCAUUUGCAAUACUUGUCCUCUCCUACUACCUGUUAUUAUGGCGGUCUGGAGCUGGUAAGGGCAGAAUGGCACCUGAAGCUGCUGGUGCAUGGCCCAUAAUAGGUCACCUACACCUCCUAGGUGGGUCUAAGAAUUUGCCCCACUUACUUUUGGGAACCAUGGCCGACAAGUAUGGAGCAGUAUUCAGCGUUCGGCUGGGAUUGGAAAGAGCUGUGGUGGUGAGUAGUUGGCAGAUGGCCAAGGAAUGCUUCACCACCCAUGACCUGGCUCUGGCCUCCCGUCCUCAACUUGUAAUCUCCAAACAAUUGGGAUAUAACGAUGCCAUGUUUGCUUUCUCUCCUCACGGUGCAUACUGGCGGGAAGUGCGAAAGAUAGCCACUCUAGAGCUCCUCUCGAACCGCCGGCUAGAGUUGCUGAAGAACGUCCGAAUCUCAGAGGUGGAGACAUGCAUGAAGGAACUAUACAAGCUUUGGGCUGAGAAGAAAAACGAGGCAGGCGUUGUUUUGGUGGACAUGAAGCAAUGGUUUGGGGACUUGACUCUGAACGUGAUUCUUAUGAUGGUUGCUGGAAAACGAUAUUUCGGUUAUACAGCCGAAAGUCAAGAGAAAGAGACCCAGCGGUGCCAGAAAUCGAUUAGGGAAUUCUUUCGUUUGUUGGGUCUCUUUGUGGUGUCGGAUGCCCUUCCUUUUCUUGGCUGGCUUGACGUGGGUGGACAUCUGAAAGCCACGAAGAAGACUGCAAAAGAAAUGGAUGGUAUUGCUCAGGAAUGGUUAGAGGAACACCGACAGCGAAAAGAUUCGGGUGAAGCUAAUGGUAACCAGGACUUAAUGGACGUGAUGCUGUCCAUUCUGGCUGGCACGGACCCUACCGGCUAUGAUGCCGAUACAAUCAACAAAGCCACAUCCCUGGUAUGCACAUUAUUCCUCGAGCACCUUUAUAUGCUACUAAAAAAAAUGACAUUCUUCUCAAGACAUAAUUUCAUGCUUUAUCCUCUUUAGUCGGGACUCUCAGACUCUCGAGAGUACUCACACCUUCAAUGGAAUAACUUUCUGUUGCUGGUUGAAGCUAGUCAAAGUCAAUACUUUUUAAAAGAUAAUAUUAGAUUUAUAAAAGUUUUAUCAAUUAUGAAAGAAUUUUUUGCAUCAGCGCAAAUAGAAUUUUUUUACUUAAAAAUAAAACGUUUUUGAUUUCAUAUUGUGUUUUAUUAUACGUUGUUAUUUGUCAAAAGAGUAACAUGAGAAGCUUCGACAAGCAAUUAUAAUGAAAUACAACCCACCUGAGAAUCUGAGCGUAACUAGAAUUAUGACGAACCUCUGGCUUGGGUGUUUGGGCUGGGCUGGUAAUGAUCCAACUCUCCUCUGGGUGGCUGGCCCAUUCUUGUCAGAAGAUCAUGAAAGUGUGUUCAUUAUUCCUCAUGCUUUGAGGCCUCAUUGACUGGGCUUCUUGAUCUUGAGUUGGUUAGACAAUUACGCCUUUCAAAGACUCCUCGUCAUAAUAAAUACAGGGGCUUUCCCUCGUAAAUUUAAGGAUUUUUAUAUUUUAUAUUUUAUUUUAAUUUUGAAGGCCAACAUGAACUUUUAUAAAAUGCUAAAUUUAUGAGCGAGUUUCAAAUUCAAGCUACUUUUGAUCGACGGACACUAAACUCUAACUCUAGAAGCAGACUCCUAUUGGUUUCUAAGGGGCACUCACUCUUGAAAAUAAAUAAAUAAAUAAAUUGAAGCCUUUUCCUCCUUAAUCCUGUUAGUAGUUAUAAUUUUAUUAACAUUAGUUAAUGUUUUGUACUUGACAGAUUUUGAUUGCAGGAGGCAGUGACACUACAUCUGUUACUCUAACAUGGGCGAUCUCACUUUUAUUGAAUAAUCCAUGUAUGUUAAGAAAAGCCCAAGAAGAAUUGGACACUCAUGUUGGUAAAGGGAGAUUGGUAAAUGAAGUGGAUUUAAGCAAGUUGGUCUACCUCCAAGCAAUUGUUAAAGAGACAUUGAGGUUAUAUCCCGCAUUUCCACUUUCAGGACCACGCCAAUUUAACCAAGAUUCCAUUUUAGGUGGUUACCGUAUCCCAAAAGGCACUCGUCUUGUGUUGAACCUCACUAAGAUCCAAAGAGACCCAAGUAUAUGGUUGAACCCAACAGAGUUUCAACCAGAAAGAUUCCUCACUACUCACAAAGACAUUGAUAUGAGGGUCAAAAAUUUUGAGUUUACACCAUUUGGUGGUGGAAGAAGAAUUUGCCCUGGUGCAACUUUUGCCCUUCAAGUGCUACACUUAACAUUAGCCAAUUUCUUGCACAAAUUUCAACUUUCGACUCCAUCAGAUGCAACAGUUGAUAUGAGCGAGAGCCUUGGGAUAACAAACAUCAAAUCCACUCCACUUGAAGUUCUCAUCUCGCCACGUUUGUCUUCUUGUGAUCUUUAUGAGUAAAACCAAUGAAUGUUGAGAGAGACUAUUUCAAGAAACCUAGUAUUAUAUAUAGGAAAUAAAAAUACAAAUAAAAUUUGUACAUGUGGUACAAGUUUAAAAUAAUAACUAAUGAGUACUAUACUUUUUUAAUUUUAUCUUAGCUUGAAUUUUGGUGUUUUUUUUUUCUCCUUGUAGAAGAAAAAGUGGCAUAUAGCAUUUUUCUUUCGGUAUAGAUAGUGAAAAAUAAGUAUGCACUUGACCAUAUGCAUACGUGUGCAAUAGACUUAAUGAGUUGCAAGUUGAUAAUUGAUCUGUCUUUUGGUAGAUUUUAGUUGCCUUCUUGUACAUCAUUAAAGUAGAAGAUAAAGACGAAAAUUAUAACUUCACCCAUUCAAUUAAAAAUCAAUUUAAUUGAAUUUAAAGAAGAAAAUGGUUGGUUCGGUUUGACUAACAAUAAUUGAUUCGUCGGUUUAUUUUGUUUCAAUUUGUUUUGGUUUGUUGUAACAAUAAAAAUCAUUUUUUUUGGUUAAUUUGGACUAAAAAAAAAAAACCAUGAUUAGAUAAAAACUAUAAAUGUGCAUAUGAAGUUGUAUCGAAUGUGAAAGCUUUUCAUCAAAUUAAUAAUAUAACCAAUACUCAUAUUAUUGAUGUAAAUAUAGAACUUCUAGAUAAGUUCAAUUUGUUUUACUAUUGAUUUUUUAAAUAGGUAACCGAAUUGGUCUAAUUCAAUUUUAUAUUUUAAAACCCAAUAUUAUUAAAAGAAAAAUUGCUAAAAAUUAGUGGAUUAGGGUUAGUUCAUUGAUUCUGUCUACACCCCAAAAAGAAGAGUGUCCACUUCGUAUUGUCAACUUUGUGUGCUUAUAAGUUACAAUUUUGCACCAUGAGAUUCACAUUUGUACUUAUUAUUGCUAAUUUUGUGUGGUCAUAAGUUAUAAUUUUACCCCACUAGAUUCACAUUUGCUAGCAUCAUAAUUGACUUUCUACAUCCAUGCAUUCAUGAAUCAUUACAUUUCAAUACUGUAUUACCAUUUUGGUGCUAAACAAGAAGACUCGUCUUUAAAGUACUCAAGCAAACCCUCACCAAUUUUAAUCAUUUUUCAAUUUAGAUGAAUGGGAGCAACAACACUAGAACAAUGAAGUAGAUGAUGAAAUAAAAUAAAAAACAAAGAUAGUAUACAAACUCUAAUUUUAUUGGUUUGUCAUAGUCUUGACUUAUAUGCACUCUCCUCAAACUUUAAAAUUCUGCUAACUUCUAAUCCUUCAAGCCAAUCUUAAACUCUUACAUUUUGAUUCUUGAUUCCAAAAGACCUUCUUACACUUGCCUCAAUAGAUUCUUUACUUUUGAAUACACUAGUCACAAGUUGUUAACAAUUGAACAAAAUUAAUCUUUCUAAAUCUUAAUUAGUACAAGUUUAAACUUGAGAAAAUACAAGAGGAAAUUAGGAUGUUUUGUCUUAGAUAAGAUUUAUAAGUUAAUCAAGAAUUUUACAUUGAGAACAAAGAGUUAAGAUCAAUUCAGUUAAGUGAGAUUGUAGGAUCUAAUUAGUUUGAGAUCUUAAGCGGUCCUGUUAUAAUCUUAUUAUUUUAUUCCAAAAUUGCCUAAGAGGGAAGUAGUAAUUUAGGACAACAAUUCCCUCCCAAAGUUUAUUGGUUUGAAACUAAUACUUUAUUAUACCAGCAUGUUUGAGUUGAAAACACAAAAAUUGAAGCUAAGGCAAGUACUUUACAAUUCGGAUUGGGUUGCAUCGAGCUUUGGUGGUAACUACUUGGGAGAUGGCUAAAGAAUGCUUGACCGCCAAUGACCAGGUUUCAUCCUCGCGUCCCGAACUUUUAGCCGCAAAACAUUUGGGCUACAACUACGCCAUGUUUGGUUUCUCUCCAUACGGUUCUUACUGGCGUGAAGUGCGCAAGAUAAUCAGCCUAGAGUUACUCUCUAACCGCUGCCUAGAGCUGCUGAAGGACGUCUGUGCUUCAGAAGUGGUGACAUCCAUAAAAGAGCUAUACAAGCUCUAGGCAGAGAAAAAAAAUGAAUCGGGCCUUGUCUCGGUGGAAAUGAAGUAGUGGUUUGGAGAUUUGACUCUGAACGUAAUUCUUAGGAUGGUGGCAGGGAAGCGUUAUUUCAGUGCUUCAGAUGCAAGUGAAAAUAAACAGGCGCAGAGGUGCUGGAGAGUGUUCAGGGAAUUUUUUCAUUUGGUAGGGCUCUUUGCGGUGGCGGACGCUAUUCCUUUUCUUGGAUGGCUCAACUGGGGGAGACAUGAGAAUACCCUAAAGAAGACAACAAUAGAAAUGGACAAUAUUGCUCAAGAAUGGUUAGAGGAGCACCGUUGGAAAUCAUGAUAAUAGUACGCAAGACUUCAUGGAUGUGAUGCUGUUAGUUCUUGAUGGCAAAAAUCUUGGUGAGUACGAAAGCCACAUGCUUGUGUGGACCCGCAUUUUUCACGUGCACCUCCACUCAAUCGGCGAGACUCGUUUUUUUUUGGUGAAGAUGUUGUUUUUGGAAAAGUCGGAGUCGCCACUUAUUUUAUUUUAUUUUAAAGGGAAAAUAAAACAAGAAAUAAAACCCUAAAAAAUGACUCCAUAGUUUUUUGGAAAAGCAUGUCUUUGAAAAACCCGAGUCUAGGUCCGGGGAUCAGGUUACUUAUUGGGAAGGUACCUCCAGGAGAUAGCACCUCUCUAAGCCCUACAAAGGUCCCUACUGACUAUGUUGAAGGAAAUGUGGCAAUCAACUGAUUAAUUGAGGGUACCUAGGUAGGCUAAGGUGAUCUCAAAACUAGCAUGCUAAACAAGAAAAACCAAUCACGCCCAUAAAGGAAAGUUAGGAUGCGUACCUGGACCACUUCUUAAGCGCUAUCAUAAAACAUCAAUGGUUAGUUUAGAUAAUAUAUCACUCAGUAUGUGUUUUAUCAUGAAUGAUCAAACAAUGUAGCAAAUAUCAAGACAUCCCAAGCAUUCUCAAACAUAGGUAUAAAUCAUAAUGACGAUCAUAUUUACAAAAUUUGGAAGGUAGGUGACAGGAGACGUACCUGGAUAGCAUAGAUAACUUGUAACGUGCUUUCACAAGACAUGAGAGGUUAGAUAACAAACAAUAAAAUAAGAAGUCCUAGCAUGUUUGUUAUCUAAUUAGCAUAGAAAAAAAAAAUUAUCAUAGUAUAUGAAACCAUCAAUUAUCACUUAUAUCUUCUGUAUAAUUUCUAAAAAAUAAAUAGACAUGAUUUCCUUAAAUAGCAAAGGGGGCAACAAAGAUGAGUUUUGAAAAUUUUCCUUAUGUAGGGGCUUCACCAAUUCCCCGAUUGAUAUACACAAAUCUAGUUUAGAAUUAUCCCAUUUGUUUGGGACCACAAGCUUGGAUUCAUGUCUUACUCAAAACUGUAAUUUUAUUUGAAAUUUAAGAAAGAUGCAAACAGAUCAAAACAUGGUUGCACAUUAUUUGAGAAAAUGAGAUUUCGAUUCUAAGAACUCUAAAUGAAUUUUUGAAAUGGAUUCCUAAAGGGAAUGAGAUUUUGAUUCUAAGAACUUUAAAUGAAUUUUUGAAAUGGAUUUUUAAAGGGAUUUUUUUUAGAAUAGUGUUAUGUUUUAAAAAUAAAAGAAAUUAAUUUCAAAACAAUAAAACGUAUGAAUCAAAUACCAAGCAAAACAAAAGAGAACAAAAUCACAAAGUAGAAUUUUUGACAACCAAGAAAAUUGAAGUGGUGAGAAUGGAAGCCAAUCUUCACUAUUUUUCGAUGGUCUCCAAAAAGUAAAUUUUACUAGAGACUACCAAAGCAAUAAACUAUUCAAACUUGGAUCAAAUAAGCUAACGAAAUACCCACCAAGAAUUAAUGACGAAAAUUCAAGAAACACAUCUACUAAGAAUAACAAUCAAGAAUUAGCAUGAGAUCAAUUAAACACACAAACGCAUCUAGAUUAACUAAAAUGAACCAAAUUAAAUCAAAGCAAACAAUAAUUUUCAAACAUAGAAUUAACUUUAUUAAUGAACUAAUAUUAUAUAAAAUACCUAAAUCGAAUAGAUGUGCAAAACUAAAUCAAAGUAAACUAAAGGCAUGAAUUCUCAAAAAUAGAAUUGAUUUUAUUAAUGACCUAAAAUUAUACAAACUCCUAAAAUAAUUAAAAUGAAUCAAUUUAAACGAAAGGAAACUAAAACAAAAUAUGAAUUCAGGGAAUCUAAUUUCGAAAUAAACUUACAUUAUUAAAAUGAAAUCUAGGCUUAAAAACUAUUAAACACUAAUUAAAGCCAAUCUAAACUUAAAUUCUUAACACACAUGAUCAAUUAUUUUAACAAACUAACAUUUUACCUUAACCACAAAUUAAAUUAAAAAACUACUUGAGACUAAAUUUCUAACCUAUAAAAUUAAACUCAUAAUCAAAUGGAUAAGUUGAUGACACAGACAAAUAAAUAUGAAUAAAAUAAAAUAUGAAUGAAAUGAAAUACGAACACAAGGAAUUAAAUAAUUUUUUCUUUUUUUUAAUAAACUUAUGUUAGUAAAAUAAAUUUGAGCUUAACAAACAUUUUUAUCACUAAUUAAGGCAAGUUUAAAAUAUAAUACUUAACACAUAAAAAAUCAAUCAUUUCAACAAACUAUAAUUUUAACUAAACUUAAAGUCAAUUCAAACAACCUUCAAUAGAUUUUUUUAUUUUUAUUUUAAACUGAAUUUUUAACCCAUAGAUUCAAUCUCAUUGAUAAAUAAAUAAAUAAAUAAGUUACAAAGCAUUAGCUUAGUAGCAAAUAAAUAAAUAAACAACUAAUAAUUAAAUGAAUCACAACUAAACUAAAUAAAGAUCAAACUAUAUUAUUUUUUUUAUUUUUCAAAAGUAGAAUUACAUGAAUUUGUAUUUUUUGAAUUUAAUAUAAUAUACCAAACUAAACUUAAACACAAUUCUCAUUCUGCCAUAUUAAAACAAAAAAUGCAUGGAGUUAGUAAAUAAAGUCAAAUGACACAAUAUAAUAAUAAUUCCACUAAAAAACCAAUCAAACUAAUUAAAAUUCUAAAAAAUAUCAACUAAAACAAGAUCAAUCAAAAUUAGCGUGUAUAUAUAUAUAUAUAUAUAUAUAUAUAUAUAUAUAUAUAUAUAUAUAUAUAUAUAUAUCUUUAUUUUUAGUUAUUUAUUUAUUAAAACACGAAUACAUCAACACGAAACGAAAUAAACUAACCAACUUACAUUCUAAAACUAAAAGGAUAAAUCAUGAAUUAAAAUUAACAACCUUUGGAUAUGAAAAGAGUGGCAUGGAAUCAAUUGAAAUAAUAAACUAAAAUUUAAUAACAUCUAAACUAAAAGAUAAAUUAAAACUAAAUUAAAUGAAAUUAUGAACUUCCUAAUUGAGAAAAAAAAUAAUAAUAGUAAUAAAUCUAAUCAAAAUUCUAAAUUUUAAACCAUCAUCAUGAAUUGCCCAAACUCUUAAAAAAUCCUAACCUUUCCAUUAUCAACAAAAAUUGCCUAAACCAAUAUUUAAAAAAUCUAAUUUGUCAAACUAAGAAUAAUAAAUUGUAACUACAUUAAACAAAAAUCAUAAUCUUCAAGCUAGAAUAAUGAAUCAAUAAUAAUUAAUUUAUUUAGAUAAGAAAAAUUAAAAAAAUAAAUUAAAGAUUAACAUCUAAGCUAAACAUGAAUUUACAAUAAAAAUUUAAAAUACAAAGAUUGAAUGGGAAUAAUUUUAAAACUAAUAAAUUGUCAUCAGGAAAUAUAUUGAUAUUAGAAAUAAUUAAACUAUAUAGAUAAAACUCUAAAACGAUUAUGCAUUGAAUUGAAUAUUUCUUGAAUCAAAAUUGAAAUAGGAAGGAUAAAUUCACAUUUUCCGAAACGUGUAGGUCACUUUCCACUAGUAGGAUUUCUAUUUUUUAUUUUAUUUUAAAAGAAUCAUUGCCAAGGAUGCAUGGUGUGGUGGCUGCCCAUGCACUGUAGCUGAAGACUUCUUCUUGGUGGUCUUUGAAACCUAGGAGCAUGGCUGAAUGUUUCCUUUCUUCCAAUAGUGCAACUGCUCCGGAAGUCCUCUCAACGGUGCGGCUGAUUCAGAAAUCGUCAUCUCAAUGGUGCGGCUGUUUCGGAAAUCUUCCUCUCAAUGGUGCGGCUACACCCUCUCACAUUCCAGAAAAUAAUCUUACUCCUCCCACCUGGAUCCCCUUUAGUGCGGCUGUUGAUCUCCUUCCCGUUUGGUGUCACCCUCUCUUCUGAUGCAUGCUGAAAGCGUCCCAAGAAUGGUGCAGCUGGUCGUUCUUGCUUCUCCAAAGGCGUCAGACCCUCUUAUGCGUGCUGAAAGCGUCCUAAGUAUGGUGCGGCUGGUCGUUCACCCCUCUCCAAAAAAAACUCUCCCCCCUCUCACUUUCUAACCUUCCUCUCCAGUACUCUGCCAACAUGGGAAGACAACUCACCAGCCCGGAGAGCCUCAAUCAUCCACGUCAGUCUAGCAUCAUCAGGACUCUCCUUCCUGAACAUAGUCUUCAUUCCGUCCAAAUACCCAUUGAACAUUUCCUUUUUCCAUGCCAAAAGAACUUUGGUAAUUUUCUUUCUUCAUUCAUUUCCUUCCAUUAGAAGCACAAUCAACACAUGCAUGGGUGCAUACUUGCUUUCCUUCUUAGUUCAUUUUCUUCCAUACGUCCUGUCCUCUUCCAACCACCUUGAAUCCAUCCUUUAACCCGCUGAAUAUUUCCUUUCCAUAAUCACACAUGAAAAUUCCUCUUUUUAAUUUUUUUUUUUGACUGAAUAUCCUCUAUUUCCUGAAAGACUCACACAUGAAUAUCCUUGCCAAUACACGUUUUCAACCUUCCUUUUUCUCUCCAGUGAUGAUUCCUUUGGUGAGUUUCUCUACAAAAAUAUAAAGAAAAUUAGACUUAAUGAAUGAAUCCCAAGGUGUUUUAGAAAAUUAUAAAAUAAAUUAACAAAAUAAUUAAGUAAAUAAUGAUAAUAAUAAUAAUAAUAAUAAUAAUAAUAAUAGUAAAGUGUCAUGCAAUCUAUGCAACCAUGCAAUCAUGUGAGCAACUCAAGUCAUGCAAAGAAUGUCUAAUGGGCCUCGGGUGUAUCUAAUGGACCUAAAGGGUCUAAGUGGACCAAUGAUGGUGCCUAAUGGGCCUAAGUGGGCCUAGGGUGGUGCCUAAUGGACCUAAAGGGUCUAAGUGGGCUUAGGGUGGUGCCCAAGUGUAUCUAAGUGAACCUAAAGUGCUUAAGUGGAUCUAAGUGAACCUAAAGUGUUUAAGUGGAUCUAAGUGAACCUAAAGUGCCUAAAUGGGCCUAAGUCUAAAUUAGGGCUACUAAGAGUCACAAUAGGGUUAAAUGAAUCCCUCUACCAAAGUCUCCGAGGUGGCUCAAAAAAGGUAAGUAGUAUGAGUAGCUAUGGGCCACUAAGGAACUACUGUGGAGCACUGGAAGUGAACUUAAAGACAUGUGCUAAAGGAACAAAAUUGAGGGUCUACAACCUGGUAUGAGUAUUAAUGGAACACCCACGUAACAUUGAUAAAGACAAAUUGCAAGGAUAAGGCAAUGAUCGAACAAAUAACCUAUGAUUAAACAAGAUCAUUCAAAAUCAAUUUUGUAUAUUUUUGUAACCGUUAUUUGAUGUGUUGACUUGAACAAUUCUGUAACUGUUGUAUAGUUGUAGGCAAAUUGAUGUACAUUGCCGCAAAUAGUUUUUCUUAGCUAUGCAUAUAAGUAAACUCUUAUUACAUCAAUAAAAGUGUGAAAAUUUUCAUUGAAAACAACAAUGUUAUUUCUUCUAUACUAUUUAUAUUUGCAUAGGGCUAGCUUCUUUUCCAUAGUUUUUCUUUUGUUUAUAUGUUUUAAUUGAUGCAUAUUCACUUUCUUAUUCUCUUAAUUAAAUUGCAAUAAUUAAAACUCUAAUUUAAAUAAAUUUUAAAAUUUAUUUUUAACUAAAAACAACAAUAUACAUAUACAAAUAUAUACUGCUUAAGUAAUUAAUUUUUUUAAAAAAUAUCCUUUGAGAACAUCUCAGACAAACUAAGACAUGCUUCUAGGGAAAUCUAAAUAUAAUGUUUUUAAAAGCUACCUUGUAAUUUUAUUUUCGAGCAUGUUGCAUUAUAUAUACUUUCCUUGAAUUGAUUUUCCAAAUUUUAUUUUUGUCAACAAUAAGGGUUAUCUACGUUUUGGAAGAUAUCUUUAAUUUCCCCUCCAAAGAAUAAGUGAUCUUGAAACUUAUAAGUUAAUUAUGUUCACUUGAUCGAAUAAGAGAUUUGAACAAUCUUGUAAAAAGAUGUUAAGCAGAUGGUUGAUUUCGAAAUUAUCCUUUAAACUAUAAAGGGAAAUAGAAAAAAAUACUAUUAUUUUGGUACAAGACCAUAUUGUUUAGUAGUGUCUCUAGGGAGUUCCAUUAGAUGCUAUCAAACAAUUAAUUUGGUGUCUCACUAACGUAAUUUUGAGUUGUUGAAUUUUGGGUUUUGCAAACUCUAAUUGCUGGAGGUAGUGACACAACUGUUGUCUCUCUAACCUGGGUAUUCUCUCUUUUACUCAACAACCGCGACACCUAAAAAAAAGCUAAAAAAAAAAAAUAUUCAAGUUGGCAAGGAAAGAUUAGUGAAUGAACAAGAUAUAAGUAAGUUGGUCUAUCUUCAAGCCAUUCUUAAAGAAAUUGAGAAAAUAAAGGCUAAUCUUAAAAGAUAAAAACACCCAAGAGGGGGGUGAAUUGAGUUUUUAAAAAUUAUUUUUAAACACAACAAAUUUAAGCAUAAGAGAAUCAAAUAUAAAAAGAUAAGGUUAGAGAAAUCAAACUCAGAUUUUAUAAUGGUUCAACACUUCCUUACCUACAUCCACUCUCCUCAAGCUCUUAACCGAGUGAGGGUUCCACUAACAUGAAGUUUCAACCAAACUUCUAAUUACAUUUACACUUAGAUUCCGGCUCCAAUGGGCUCUUACACAAUCUCUUCAAGUUUCAACUCACUUAAAGACUUUAACACUAAGUUAACAAGUAUGAAUCUCUCAACUUAGCUCAACAAUGACUCAAAUACAACCCAAAGCUAGGAUGAAUCACAAAGGUGCACUAAAGGAUAUGUAAAUGGAGAUUUAAUGCACCAAGAAAAGAAAUGAGAGCUUUUAAGGCAAGAACAAAUAGGUAAGCAAAUAAAUGCAUGUGUUCUCUUACUCAUAAAUGAAGUGGAACUCUUUAUUUAUAGGUUUUUAACAUUAUAAGCCAAAAAACCAAAAAAACAGUCUCAAUCGGUUGAGCUGAGGGUCAAUCGGUUCACUAGCCAUUGCAGCAUUUAAUGCUUGUCAGGUGACAGUUACCCUCGACCGGGAAGACAAAUCCCUCGACUGGGAAGGAAAGGCUACUGAAAAAGAGAGAGUCUUUUUUGCACCUCUCGGUCGGACCUCAACAGGAAAGGGGGAGCCGGUCGACCGGUACCCUAGUCAAUUGAGCCUGUUUGGACAUAGCCUUGAUCGGUUCACAAUUUUUUACCCGAAAACCUAUCUUUUUCUAGUAUUUUUGCUUCAAACACAUAGGUAAGGUCUUCAGAUAAAAUAUAUGCCAAUUUUGAAACGUUUAGCUUAAGGUUCAUUUGAUAGAUCUCGGAUUUUGGUGAAAAUGUAACUUUAAAGCAUAAAUCGAGUUUUUCAAAGAUGCAUGAAAUAAUAUGUAAAUCCUAAGUGUAUCAAUGCAUUCAUCUUACAUAUGUUUCCUAUCAUUAAAGGUCUUUCCAAAAGUCUUGAUCUUGCAUCCAUUAGGUCAUUUGAUGAAUUUCCAAAUUAACACCUGAAAUUUUUUAUAAUUUAAACCAAUUAGUAACUUAACUAUGAUUUGUUAUCAUCAAAACAUGAUUAGGAGAACCCUUGGGCUAACAGAGACAUUACGGUUAUAUCCACCAAGACCACUUGGAGGACUAUGCCAAUUUAUUGAGGAUUGCACCUUGGGUGGAUACCAUGUCUUUAAAGACACUUGUUUAAUAAUGAACCUUUCGAAGAUCCAAAAUAUCCAAGAAUCUAGUUAGAUUCGAUAGAAUUCUAACCAGAGAGGUUUCUCAUCAACCAUAAGAAUGUUGAUCCUUAGGGAAAACAUUUUGAAUUUAUACCAUUUGGAGCUGGUCAAAGAGCAUGUCUAGGAAUAGCUUUUGGUCUUCAAAUAUUAUAUUUAGCAUUAGCUAGUUUCUUACAUGCAUUUGACUUUUCAACUCCAUCAAAUGAACAUGUUGAUAUGCGAGAGAGCUUUGGACUUACAAAUAUGAAAUCUAUCCCACUCGAAGUUUUCAUUUCUCAAAUCUACCCCACUUGAAAUCCUCAUUUCUCUACACUUAUCUUCUUGUAGUCUUUACAACUAAAACAUUGAAAUGAAGAGGUCAAAGUUGACCCAGCUAGUCUUGGUUUAAAGACAUAUAGAGUUAGGUUCAAUCAAUCUAUGAUAAGAUUUGAGAUUUGUAUUAAAAGUAGGUUGGACUAAGAAUGAUGUACAAUAAACUAAAGUACUAUCCAUGCAAAUAAAGUAUAACAUUAUAUAUUAUUUGGUUAGCAUUCUGAAAUGUAACAUCAUAAUUAUUUCUUUGUUUUGUCUAAUUUAUCGCCAUUUCACCCCCUCAUCUUCAUCAAAACAAAUAAUAUAUAGUCUUUCUAUUUUUAAAAAUCAAAUUCGAUUCCCAAUUAUAUAAGAAUUUUACUAUUACUUUAUAAUAAACUUUACUUUAGUCUUAAUAACUUUGACUUGUAAAUAUGUUCUCCAUCCUUAAUUAAAUAUACAGAUAAUUUCAUUCAUUUUUUCUAAGAUUGGAGUUAAAUUUACCCAUCCAUACUUAACUUGAAAUUUUCUUAAAUAUCUGUUUUUUUUUCAUUUUUUUUACACGUAUAUCUUUUAAUUUAAAAUAAAAAAUAUUUAAUAAAAUUUCAAAAUAAUAGUUGUCAGACAUAUUUAUGUGACAUUUUCGAAGAGGUGAAUGAAACUAAACUUUUCUUUAAAUAUAAAAUCAUAAAAAUUUAAUAUAUGCAAGCAUGAUCCGGUCUAAAUAUGAUAUAUAAUUUGUGUCAUUUCAAAAAAUCACAGAAGAUCCUUUUGGCAAAGUGGCCCCCCAUUUGAGUUGUAUUCCGUAAUUGGUCACCACAUGUUAUAUCAUUUCAAAGAUUAUGGAGGAUCAUGUUGCCAAUCAUUAUCAGAAGAAGUACAGCUUCCUCUAUAAAACUAAUCAAUACGAUAUUUAGCACAUGCAAACAAAUUUGGAAGGAUCUGAAAGUCAAGUCUACGGGCCACCCCUUUACGACUUGUUCGAAAAAGCACAAAUCAAUGGUGGUGCCACUUGCCAGCAGUCUGUUUCAAUAUCUAAAUGUUACCUCGGUAAGAUUGCUUGACAUACUUUUUGUCUCCUACUAUCUCAUGGAGAUCCAGAGUUGGUAAGAUAAGAAUAGCAUCCGAAGCUGCUGGUGCAUGGCCAAUAAUCGGUCACCUCCUCUUAGGUGGGUCACAACUUCCUGGGAUUUUUUAUAAAAUUACGGUAGAUUUAAAAUUAAUUUUUUUAAAAUGCAGCAUAUUAAUGCUUGACAGCUGACAGUUACCCUCGAUCGGAAAGACAAAUCCCUCGACUGGGAAGGAAAGGCUACUGAAAAAGAGAGAGUGUUUUUUGCACCUCUCGGUCGGACAUCAACAGGGAAGGGGGAACCGGUCGAUCGGUACCCUAGUCAGUUGAGCCUGUUUGGACAGAACCUUGACCGGUUCACAAUUUUUUACCCGAAAACCUUUUUUUUUUUUGGUCUUUUUGCUUCAAACACUUAGACAAUGUCUUCAGAUAAAAUUAUAUACCAAUUUUGAAACGUUUUGCCUAAGGUUCAUUUCAUAGAUCUCGGAUUUUGAUGAAAAUGUAACUUUAAAGCAUAAAUCGAGUUUUUCAAAGAUGCAUGAAAUAAUAUGUAAAUCCUAAGUGCAUCAAUGCAUUUAUCUUACAUAUGUUUCCUAUCAUUAAAGGUCUUUCCAAAAGUCUUGAUCUUGCAUCCAUUAGGUCAUUUGAUGAAUUUCCAAAUUAACACCUGAAAUUUUUUAUAAUUUAAACCAAUUAGUAACUUAACUAUGGUUUGUUAUCAUCAAAACAUGAUUAGGAGAACCCUUGGGCUAACAGAGACAUUACGGUUAUAUCCACCAGGACCACUUGGAGGACUAUGCCAAUUUAUUGAGGAUUGCACCUUGGGUGGAUACCAUGUCUCUAAAGGCACCCGUUUAAUAAUGAACCUUUCGAAGAUCCAAAAGGAUCCAAGAAUCUAGUUAGAUUCGAUAGAAUUCCAACCAGAGAGGUUUCUCAUCAACCAUAAGAAUGUUGAUCCUUAGGGAAAACAUUUUGAAUUUAUACCAUUUGGAGCUGGUCAAAGAGCAUGUCCAGGAAUAGCUUUUGCUCUUCAAAUAUUAUAUUUAACAUUAGCUAGUUUCUUACAUGCAUUUGACUUUUCAACUCCAUCAAAUGAACAGGUUGAUAUGCGAGAGAGCCUUGAACUUAUAAAUAUGAAAUCUAUCCCACUUGAAGUUUUCAUUUCUCAAAUCUACCCCACUUGAAAUCCUCAUUUCUCUACACUUAUCUUCUUGUAGUCUUUACAACUAAAGCAUUGAAAUGAAGAGGUCAAAGUUGACCUAGCUAAUCUUGGUUUAAAGACAUAUGGAGUUAGGUUCAAUCAAUCUAUAAUAAGAUUUGGGAUUUGUAUUAAAAGUAGGUUGGACUAAGAAUGAUGUACAAUAAACUAAAGUACUAUCCAUGCAAAUAAAGUAUAACAUUAUAUAUUAUUUGGUUAGCCUUUUGGAAUGUAACAUCAUAAUUAUUUCUUUGUUUUGUCUAAUUUAUCGCCAUUUUUUCCCUUUCUCUUAUUCCCUCAUCUUCAUCAAAACAAAUAAUAUGUAGUUUUUCUAUUUUUAAAAAUCAAAUUCGAUUCCCAAUUAUAUAAGAAUUUUACUAUUACUUUAUAAUAAACUUUACUUUAGUCUUAAUAACUUUGACCUGUAAAUAUGUUCUCCAUCCUUAAUUAAAUAUACGGAUAAUUUCAUUCAUUUUUUCUAAGAUUGAAGUUAAAUUUACCCAUCCAUACUUAACUUGAAAUUUUCUUAAAUAUCUAUUUUUUUUCCUUUUUUUUACACAUAUAUCUUUUAAUUUAAAAUAAAAAAUAUUUAAUAAAAUUUCAAAAUAAUAGUUGUCAGAUAUAUUUAUGUGAAAUUUUCGAUGAGGUGGAUGAAACUAAACUUUUCUUUAAAUAUAAAAUCAUAAAAAUUUAAUAUAUGCAAGCAUGAUCCGGUCUAAAUAUGAUAUAUAAUUUGUGUCAUUUCAAAAAAUCAUAGAAGAUCCUUUUGGCAAAGUGGCCCCACCUUUGAGUUGUAUUCUGUAAUUGGUCACCACAUAUUAUAUAAUUUCAACGAUUAUGGAGGAUCAUGUUGCCAAUCAUUAUCAGAAGAAGUGCAGCUUCCUCUAUAAAACUAAUCAUAUUUAGCACACGCAAACAAAUUUGGAAGGAUCUGAAAGUCAAGUCUACGGGCCACCCCUUUACGGCUUGUUCGAAAAAGCACAAAUCGAUGGUGGUGCCACUUGCCAGCAGUCUGUUUCAAUAUCUAAAUGUUACCUCGGUGAGACUGCUUGACAUACUUUUUGUCUCCUACUAUCUCAUGGAGAUCCAGAGCUGGUAAGAUAAGAAUAGCAUCCGAAGCUGCUGGUGCAUGGCCAAUAACCGGUCACCUCCUCUUAGGUGGGUCACAACUUCCUGGGAUUUUUUAUAAAAUUACGGUAGAUUUAAAUUUAAUUUUUUUAAAAUGCAGCAUAUUAAAAAAUAUCUUUGAAUAAUAAUAAUAAAAUGACAAAUAAUAAAAAGGAAAGAAAGUUGUCUUGUGGCUAUAAGAAAGAAUAAUAUAAAAGAGAGAGAAGAGGAGAGGCGGAUAGAGAGAAGAGUAGCAGGAAAAAAAAAAAAGAGAACAGGGAGGUGCAUGCUGCAAAUCUUUGGGUGUUCGUAUGACGAGCAAAACGAGUUAUGUUUUGCGUGAAAAUUAAGGUGAAAAUUUUCUUUGACAUGAGGAACAUUCUUUCAAAGUUUGAUUUUAAUUUCAAUGAUUGGAUUUUUUGAUUUGUGGUGAGGUAGUUUAAUCCUAUAACUUUUGUUUAAUAUUUUUUCUUAAAAAAAUAUUAUGGAUUUUAUUACUGGGAGAUAAAUAUGUGUUAUUUGUGUUUUCUUUAUGUUAUUUGAAAUAUGAUUAUUGUUAGGGUGGAUUAUUAUGAUUUUUUUUUUUUUUUAUGUUUGCAAUGAUUUAAUUGAAGAAAAAUUAUUGUGUUGAUUGUUGGAAAUUAUUCAAUAUAUUAAGAAUAAAUAAAAUUUAUAUGAUUAUGGUUUAGACUAUGUUUUGAUGAUAUAUAAAUUAUUGUGAUUUUUUUUGUGGUUAUUUAAUUGAAGAAAAAUUGUUGUGAUGUAAUUGGAAUUAUUGAUUAUGUUUGGAGUAAAUAAAAAUUAUGUCCUAUAAAAUUAUGGAUGAUAACAUGUAAGUUUAUUAUAUUUCAUAUAUGGUUAUAUGAAAAAAAAUGAUGAAAGAUUUUAUGAAAUGGAAAAAGGAAAAAAAAAGAAAAAAAAAAUGAUGAUGAAAAGUAAAAGCCCGUAAAAGACGAAUUAAGAAAGAAAUGAGAUUUCUAGUAUGAAAACUACAAAAAUUUAUCUUAUGAAAACUCUAAAUGGGGAGUGUAUUUGGUACAGAUGCAUAUCAUUAAGUGAAAACCCAAAAACAAUAGUUUGUUACUUUACUGAAUGUAAACAUUUGCAUCAUGUUUUUAUUUGGAAGAAUGACAUGUAUUAAUUACUUGAAUGACGUCAAUGGUAUGUUUGGAUAUAUUAUUAGAGAUUGAAAUGAUUUAUUUAUUUUGUAAAUUUAGAAUUGUUUGAUAUGUUAUUUAUAUAAUUGAAUAAGAAAUGUGAUAAUUUUGAUUAGUUUAAUUUUAUAUGGUUGAUUUUUUAUUUAAUGACUAUAAUGCAUUGUUUUGAAAAUUGGAUCGGACCAACCGGUUCAAUCGCCAACUGGUGAUCUUUCCGGUUCCAUCCUCUCCUUUAAACCGCUAGAUGGUUGAACCGACCACAAACCACUAUUGGCAGUUGGACCGAUGAACCGCUUGGACCAGGUGGUUUUUCAUGAACUGCAUGGCUCAAUUCCAGCCCAGUCUUCCCCCCAUUUUUUCUUUCAUCCAAAUAGUCCAACCUUCCCCUCCUCUUUUUCAUAGGGUCCAAGUGAAAGCCCAAUAAGCCCAGCCUUACAUCUUAAUGGUCUUUAGGCAAAACCUAAACCCAUUUAAACCCCUCAAUGGGUUGUACCUUUGAACCCAUUAGUUACACAAAUAGCUUGAAUGAACUGUGUUUUACGCGCAUAUUCACAUCCACAUCCAUGUGGGAUUGCUGCUAUUUUAAGUCUAAAGAAAAAGCAACGCCACUUAGCUACAACACAAUUUGAUGCAAGUCUAGAAAAUAAAAAAAUCAGCAUGUGUUUCAAAAAAGAUUAAUAAUAUUAAAUAAAAUAAUAUAAUAUUUUCUGAAAUUAUAAAAUUAGUUAAAGUUAAAUAAUUAAAUUUUUACAUAUUCCAUUUAAUAAAGUUCAAAAUAUUAAUAUAUUUAUAUUUAUAUUUUGAUAAUAUCAAAGAUAAAAAAUAAAUAUUUUUAAUUUUUUAAUUUAUAUAAUAUUAUAUUUUGACAUAUAAUUGUUUUCUAUUGACUUAAAUUUUUUAAUUCAUUUGGGUGUAAAACACCUUACAAAACAAUGUGAAAAUGUUCACCCCUUUAUUUUUAUAAAAUUUUUAGAUACAAAUAUAGUUUAUAAGGAACCAUAAGAAAAUCAAGAAGUGUUCCAAAAAGCCUUAACAAAUAAAAGAAAAAUAAUAAUAAUAAUUUUUAAUUUAUAUUACCUUUUUGACAUGUACUAAUUUGAGUUAUAUGAAUUUUUGUAACUUAAAUUAUAUUUUGUUAUUUUGUAAAAUAUUUUUGGAAAUAUUUUUUACUUAGAUUUAUGUAGAUAUUUGGGUUAAUUUGGGAUUAAAUAUUGAUCUAUUCACUGUCAAAUUGGAUAGGAAUAAACUUUAAGGUCAACCCUUUGACCUGAUAUCACUAGUCGGAUUCUGAGUUGCCUUGGGUGUGACUAUAAUGGAUUUUCUUCUCCAAUGCCUAAACCCUGUCAUGGUUGGAGCGUUUGCAAUACUCGUCCUCUCAUACCACCUGUUAUUAUGGAGGUCUGGAGCUGGUAAGAGCAGAAUGGCACCUGAAGCUUCUGGUGCAUGGCCCAUAAUAGGCCACCUGCACCUGUUAGGUGGAUCUAAGAAUUUGCCUCACUUACUUUUUGGAACCAUGGCCGACAAGUAUGGACCAGUAUUCAGCAUCCGGCUGGGAUUAAAAAGAGCUGUGGUUGUGAGUAGUUGGGAAAUGGCCAAAGAAUGCUUCACCACCCAUGACCUGGCUCUGGCCUCCCGUCCUGAGCUUGUGGCCGCCAAAUAUUUGGGAUAUAACUAUGCCAUGUUUGGUUUAUCUCCUCACGGUGCAUACUGGCGUGAAGUGCGUAAGAUAGCCACUCUAGAGCUACUCUCGAACCGCCGGCUAGAGUUGCUGAAGAAUGUCCGAAUCUCAGAGGUGGAGACAUGCAUGAAGGAACUAUACGAGCUUUGGGCAAAGAAGAAAAGCGAAGCAGGCGUUGUUUUGGUGGACAUGAAGCAAUGGUUUGGGCACUUGUCUCUGAACGUGAUUCUUAAGAUGGUUGUUGGAAAACGAUAUUUCGGUUAUGCAGCCGAAAGUAAAGAGAAAGAGGCCCAGCAGUUCCAGAAGGCGAUUAGGGAAUUCUUUCGUUUGAUGGGACUCUUUGUGGUGUCGGAUGCCAUUCCUUUUCUUGGAUGGCUUGACGUGGGUGGACAUGUGAAAGCCAUGAAGAAGACUGCAAAAGAAUUGGACGGUAUUACUCAGGAAUGGUUAGAGGAACACCGACGGCGAAAAGAUUCGGGUGAAGCUGAUGGUGACCAGGACUUCAUGGACGUGAUGCUGUCCAUUCUGGGUGGUAGAGACACUACUGAUUAUGAUGCUGAUACCAUCAACAAAGCUACAUCCCUGGUAUGCACAUUAUUCCUUUAGCAUCUUUAUAUGGUAGUAAAAAAUGAGACAUAAUUUCAUGCUUUAUCAUCUUUAGUCCAGACUCAAGAGUACUUGGGCCUGGGUUGGAAGAACUUCUUAUUUUUGCUUAGUUUCAAGUUGAAACUAAUCAAAAGCAGCGAUUUUUAAAAGGUAAUUAUAAUAGUGGUGUUAUUAAAGGUCAAACAUAAAUAACUUUUUGCAUAAAUCAAAAUAGAGUUUAUAUAUAUAUAUAUAUAUAAAAUAUUUUUCUGAUCUUCAUAUUAAUUUUUCUAAGUCAUAACUUUUUUGAACAAAAUUAGUCAAACCAUAGAACUCUUGAACUUACAGAAAAGGGCUUUCGAUUUCUUAGAAAUAGAUACAUGAAGAGUUUUGUUAUAUGUUUGUUUUUGUCAAAAGAGUAACAUGAGCAGCUUAGACAAGCAAUUAGAAUGAAAUACAACUGGGCUGAGAAGCUGAGUAGAACUAGAAUUAUGUACAACCUCUUGCUAGGAUAAUUGGGUUGGACUUGUAAUGAUAGAGUUCUCCGUUGGAGUUAGGUGGCCCAAAAAGAUUGUGCUGUUUGAAUAGCUGGUCCUCUAAUUUAGGAAGAGGCAGCCGAAUUUGCAACGCUGGGUGGCUGGGCCCAUAGAAAAUAUUCUUGUCAGAAGAUUGUGAAAGUAUGUUCCUUAGUCCGCAAGGUUUGAGGCCUCUUUGAGUGGGCUUCUAGAGUCGGUUAGACAAUUGGGCCUUUCAAAGGAUUUCCUAAAUUUACAAUUUUUUUAGCCCAACAUGAAUUUUUAUAAAAUGCUAUAUUUAUACGUGAGUUUCAUAUUCAAGCUAAACAUACCCAUUUUGAUUGGAAAAAAAGGGAAAGAACAUGGGGCCUUUUUUCCACCCUUAAUCUUAUCACUACUUUUAAUUUUAUUUUAUUAGUUAAUGGUUUGUAUUUCACAGGUUAUGAUUGGAGGAGGCGCUGACACUACAUCUGGUACUUUAACAUGGGCAGUCUCACUUUUAUUGAACAAUCCACACAUAUUAAGAAAAGCUCAAGAAGAAUUGGAUGCUCAUGUUGGUAAAGAAAGACUAGUAAAUGAAAUGGAUAUAAGCAAGUUGGUUUACCUUCAAGCAAUUGUUAAAGAGACAUUGAGGUUAAAUCCAAUAGCCCCACUUUCAGGACCGCGUCAAUUCAUCCAAGAUUCUAUUUUAGGUGGUUACCAUAUCUCAAAAGGCACUCGUCUUAUAUUGAACCUUACCAAGAUUCAAAGAGACCCGAGAGUAUGGUUGAACCCAAUGGAGUUCCAACCAGAUAGAUUCCUCACCACCCACAAAGAUGUUGAUGUUAGAGG